CUCAAUCCUACCGUCCUGACGCCCUGGCCCUGGCCCUGGCCGCACCUUCCGCGAGGGCUCCGUCGGCCGCCGCCGCGCGCCUCCCGCCGGCAUCGUGGGCGCCUGGGCGGGCACGGGGCCGUGCUGCUGCUGGCUCGGCUAUGCCUGCUGGUCCCUAGGGCCUGGGCGACCGCACGCCUCCGGCCUCCCGCCGGCGCGAGAACUGCCGACGCGUCUGCGCUCCGCCCGCCGUCUGGAGACGCGACCGUCCGAGGCUCCGAGCUGCCGCCUGGCUCCGGCUGCUGGAUGCUGCAGCUAGCAGCUAGGCCUAGGCAGCUAGCUGACUCUACACCAGAUCCAUUGCGCAAUCCAAUUGCAAUUCCCUCACUGGACUACCUAGUUUCAAUUUGUGGGUCCGCCACUGCCUGGGUCGGGCGCGGUAGUCAAGGCUGACCCGGUGUCGUCAAAAGCGAGAGGAGGUCGGUACGUGUAGCAUGGCAUGCAUGCAAACGGAUCCCGUCAAGACAGGCGGCUCGUGCGUAAGCCGAUUAUUAACUCAUCACUUCUAGAAGUUCGUUCGGGCUCAAAUGGGAAAUGGCUGACGACCCACACUGGUGAACUACUGCUUCGAUCGGGCGACUGGGAACAGUAUGUAGUAACAUCUGAUAAGAUUUU